GGGAGUGAUUUCUUAUUAAUAAAGAAACUGCCUUGGCCCAUUUUAUUGGAUAGAAAAUUAGGUAGGCGGAGUAGACAGAGGAGAAUGCUGGGAAAAAGAAGCUGUGUGAAGAGUCGCCAUGGUUCUCCCGCUCCAGACAGACGCAGGUUAAGAUCCUCCCUGAAAAUUAGGUAGGCGGAGUAGACAGAGGAGAAUGCUGGGAAAAAGAAGCUGUGUGAGGAGUCGCCAUGGUUCUCCCGCUCCAGACAGACGCAGGUUAAGAUCCUCCCUGGUAAGCCAGCUCGUGGGCUACACAGAAUAUUAGAAAUGGGUUAGAACAAUAUGUAAGAGCUAGCCAUAAGGAACUGGAACUAUCCGGGCCAGGCAGUGUUUGAAAGAA